GGGGGUGUACAGGAUUCGACGGGAAAGAUCUUUGGAUCAAAACGCGAGCCGAGGAGCUGCCAGGCCUCGUAAAAAGGCAGAAAAAACAUAACUGCAAAAUCAGUUAACAACUUUGUUUUAGCAGGCCCAUGCCAUGCUAAAUCAGCAGCUUAAUUAAAUAGGCUGUCAUCAUUCUAGCUUUUGUUGACGAGGCUAGUUUGAUGUUAGGUUAGUCAACUCGCUUGCUAAGCUAGACAUAGCUUAGUGAUCUAAACUUUUAAUGUCUCGCUUGAGAAGAUCCUGUUUUUGGGAGCUUUUAAAGUUAAAUUUAAAACAAAAACUACGCUCGUAGCCUGGUUUGAUUUUAAGCUUUUUCGGACACCGGUUCAAUUCCGGUCACCUCCACCA
rnacentral:tmRNA from 1 species